AUUGAACGCUGGCGGCAGGCCUAACACAUGCAAGUCGAACGAGUGGCGGACGGGUGAGUAAUGUCUGGGAAACUGCCCGAUGGAGGGGGAUAACUACUGGAAACGGUAGCUAAUACCGCAUACCAUCGGAUGUGCCCAGAGGUGAUUAGCUAGUAGGUGGGGUAACGCCUCACCUAGGCGACGAUCCCUAGCUGGUCUGAGAGGAUGACCGGCCACACUGGAACUGAGAAACGGUCCAGACUCCUACGGGAGGCAGCAGUGGGGAAGAUUGCACAAUGGGCGCAAGCGUGAUGCAGCCAUGCGGCGUGUGUGAAGAAGGCCUUCGGGUUGUAAGGCACGUUCAGCGGGGAGGCGUUACCCGCAGAAGAAGCAACGGCUAACUCCGUGCCAGCAGCCGCGGUAAUUC
rnacentral:rRNA from 1 species